ensembl:misc_RNA Y_RNA Y RNA
GGCUGGUUCAAGUUCAGUCGUUUUUACAACUAAUUGAUCACGACCAAUUACGGAUUCUUUUGUUCUUUCUCCAUUCCGACUGCCUACCUUCAAUAGCCUUUA